GGACACUGAGAAAUCUGGACUUUUGACAGUGUACGACCUAAAGGAAUAUAAGGAUUUGAUAGUUGUAGCUUCCUUGCAAUUAAUUUUAUGGUAUUUGUACCUCUUGCUUUCUCUGUGGAUUGAGAUCAAGAAACACUAUGAGCACAGCUCAACGAAAGCGCCGUGGAGGAGCAGUUAAUUCCAGGCGAGUUCGGAAACGAAACAGGCUGAUGGCUUCUACCGCAGAAAUGGCUUCAGAAGCAGAGCCAAUAGAGCUUGAAGAAAGUGCUGGUGAAGAAGUAGUAGAUCUCACAUGUGAAUCUUCUGAUCCUGUAGUCGUUGAUCUAACUCACAAUGAUUCUGUUGUG